rfam:Bombyx mori DNA, contig: Bm_scaf36_contig21747, strain: p50T/Dazao, build 2, whole genome shotgun sequence.
UUAGCUCAAAUUUGUAUGAAGUUGGAACGUUUGCCCACAUUUGCCGCUAGGGGCGCUGUUCCAACUCCAUACAAAUUUGAGUUG